rnacentral:lncRNA from 10 species
GUCCUGCACCUCAGCUGCGGAGAGGGAUGGCAGUGGUGAGUGAGAGGCCGCCGCACGUGAACAGACGCCCUCCCCACUCCACGCACCCCCUGGUUUCUAGGAGAGUCUAGGCUGGAGCACAAGUGGGCCUUGGGGUGAUGUCGGAGUCCGGGAUCCUCCCUAUGUCCAGGGCCCUUCCUGUGUCCAGGGCACCUGCUCUGUCGCUCUGGGCUCUGACAUACUCUCAAGUGUCUGGGGAAAGCGAUUCUUUGCUGCUUUUUCAUGGCCUCCUGGUGGACCCAGGCUUUUGUUGAGGAGGCUCUGCGUCCUGGCCUCAUGAGGAGGUUUCGCCAGGGGGAUGCAGCACUGCAGGUGGAAGAGCUGCAGUGCAGACAGGAGGGUGGGUUUGGGGAUGGGAACCAUGGGGCAGCACAGUGCCCAGGCCAGGCUGGCAUGGCCACUACGCUUGGAGCCCUCCUGAGGGCAGGGGCCCUGGGGCCUUGGCGUGUGGGUGGUGGGAGUGGGUGUUUGGAGCUGUGCUCAGGCCGUGCAUUCACCAUUCCAGGGACAAAUAAGCGAGAUAAGCAAUACCAGGCCCACCGGGCCUUCGGGGACCGCAGGAGUGGCGUCAUCAGUGCCCGCACCUACUUCUAUGCCAACGAGGCCAAGUGCGACAGCCACAUGGAGACAUUCUUGCGCUGCAUCGAAGCCUCAGGUAGAGUCAGCGAUGACGGCUUCAUAGCCAUUAAGCUCACGGCACUGGGGAGACCCCAGUUUCUGCUGCAGUUCUCAGAGGUGCUGACCAAGUGGAGACGCUUCUUUCACCAAAUGGCUGCGGAGCAAGGGCAGGCGGGCCUGGCUGCCAUGGACACCAAGCUGGAGGUGGCCGCGCUGCAGGUGGGGCAGCCCUCCCCUUCCCCACUCCUGGGUCUUGUGCGGGGGUGGGCACCGUGGGGGCGCACAGGGGGCGUGGUGGGCAGUGGUCUGAGGCGGUUUGGGGAACUCAUCCAGGGCAUGUGGCUCACUCUGCAGCUGCUGGGGUUGGCCUUGUGGGGAGGAGGAGGUCAGAGGGACGCUGAACAGAGGAGGAAGAUGCUGGUGGGAGGGCUGGGGACCAGCCCUGCAGGGCAUGGGUGAGCAUCAGCAGCAGGGUGGGAAUAGACCUGUCUAUGCAGUAGAAACAAACCAGAAAUGGAUCCCGUUCUCGCUAAUGAUGUAAUAAAGCCAGAAACAGCACCAGAGGCCAAUGGGUGGGGGAAGGAUAAAAUGUGAACGAAUGGGGCUGAUCCAGGCCUUCUCACUUCUCAAGGAAAGUGUUGCAAAGAUGGGCAUCGCAUCCAGGGCUGAGAUUGAGGACUGGUUCACGGCGGAGACCCUGGGAGUGUCUGGGUGAGAACAGCCCCCAGGCUGAGAGGACACGAGCAUCAGCCAUGGUUCCAGCCAAGCCCCAGCAGCGUCUCCCAGUCCUGGCUGCCCUGCCUGAGAGGGUGGGCCUUGGGAUGACAGUGCUGAAGGACCUGCUUUUCACACAGCAGGACUUGAUGGCUUCAGGAGUCCCUGGGGCCCCAUAGAGGGCUCUUUAUAGAAUUAUCUGGGUCCAGAGCAAAGGUGGCACUCUCAGCACCCCUGGAGCCCACGCUGGCAGGUGAAGGAUCAGAGCCCCACGCCCCAUCCUUGGGGUCAGGGGCUGGGACCGAGGGCACCAGGAGCCCCCAGUUGAAGUGGGGAGGUGACUGGGGUGGUGCAGUAGUCAGCCGUCCCCUCACAUACUGUCAGCCUUGCCCACUGUGUCCUCCCUGGCCCCCGGAGCUGUGUCCACCUCCUGCCUGGUUGCGUAUGCUCGGCCCCUCCACAAGCCCAAAACAGCCCUAGGGUACUCAGUGUUUUCAGAGCCGCCUAGAUACAGGACUGUUUGUGUUUUGGUUUUAAAUUACUUUAAUUAAUUAACUUUUUAUGGAGACCAGGUCUCACCAUGUUGCCCAGGCUGGUUUCAAACUCCUGGGCUCAAGUGACCUGCCCACCGUAGCCUCCCAAAGUGCUGGGAUUACAAGUUUGAGCCACUGCACGCCACUGGUUUUAAAUUUUUAAACAGAGAACAGUAUUUACAUUUUCUCUGUCUUUUUUUUUUUUUUUUUUUUUUUUCCCCGAGACAGAGUCUCGCUCUGUCGCCCAGGCUGGAGUGCAGUGGCACGAUCUCUGCUCACUGCAAGCUCUGCCUCCUGGGUUCACUCCAUUCUCCUGCCUCAGCCUUCUCUGUCUUUUAAAACUGCACACCGAGGUGGGUUUUGUGGUGGUUGGUGGACGGACAGGUUUGGGCCUGGAUCCCC